AAACAGAUGCUAAUACCGGAUAAAAGCUACAUUCGCAUGAAAGAAGUUUAAAAGGCGGCGUAAGCUGUCGCUAAGGGAUGGACCUGCGAUGCAUUAGCUAGUUGGUAAGGUAACGGCUUACCAAGGCGAUGAUGCAUAGCCGAGUUGAGAGACUGAUCGGCCACAUUGGGACUGAGACACGGCCCAAAACUCCUACGGGAGGCAGCAGGU
rnacentral:rRNA from 1 species